rnacentral:rRNA from 1 species
GACGAACGCUGGCGGCGUGCUUAACACAUGCAAGUCGAACGGAAAAUCUUCGUUCGAUUAGUUCGCGUGUGGCGCACUUAUGAGUAACACGCGGGUGGGUUACUAAUGCCUGUGUGAUCUCUUCCGUAAACUGGGGCUACUACCGGAUAGGAGCGGCUGUUCCACAUAGGGGGAUGGAACGACUCGGCGGUGGGGGAUAGACUCGCGGCGUAUCAGAUUGUUGGGGGGGUAGUGGCUUACCAAGGGGUUGACGGGUAGCCGGCCCGAGAGGGUGAUCGGCCACAGUGGGACUGAGAUACGGCCCAGACUCCGACGGGAGGCAGCAGUGGGGAAGAUUGAACAAUGGGUGGAAGCCUGAUGCAGCAACGCCGUGUGCGGGAGGACGGACUUCGGGUUGGAAACCGCUUUCGCUCAUGACGAAGCUGUGCGUGACGGUAGUGGGUAAAGAAGCACCGGCUAACUACGUG